rnacentral:rRNA from 1 species
UACGGAGGGUGCAAGCGUUAUCCGGAUUUACUGGGUUUAAAGGGUGCGUAGGUGGGUAGGAAAGUCAGUGGUGAAAUCUUCGGGCUUAACCCGGAAACUGCCAUUGAUACUAUUUAUCUUGAAUACUUUGGAGGUAAGCGGAAUAUGUCAUGUAGCGGUGAAAUGCCUAGAUAUGACAUAGAACACCAAUUGCGAAGGCAGCUUACUACAGGGGCAUUGACACUGAGGCACGAAAGCGUGGGGAUCAAACAGG